UCGAACGUGGUGCACGGUGCAUGUCUGCGGAAAAUAGUAACUGAAGGUCUUGCUUCGGGAGGAAGUCCGGGUUCGACUCCCGGCGUUCGAA